rnacentral:rRNA from 1 species
AUUAGAUACCCUGGUAGUCCGCACGGUAAACGAUGGAUGCCCGCCGUCGGCAUAUGAUGUCGGCGGCCAAGCGAAAGCGUUAAGCAUCCCACCUGGGGAGUACGCCGGCAACGGUGAAACUCAAAGGAAUUGACGGGGGCCCGCACAAGCGGAGGAACAUGUGGUUUAAUUCGAUGAUACGCGAGGAACCUUACCCGGGCUUGAACUGCAGGAGAACGAUUCAGAGAUGAUGAGGCCCUUCGGGGCUCCUGUGGAGGUGCUGCAUGGUUGUCGUCAGCUCGUGCCGUGAGGUGUCGGCUUAAGUGCCAUAACGAGCGCAACCCCUCUCGCCAGUUGCCAUCGGGUGAUGCCGGGCACUCUGGCGACACUGCCGCCGCAAGGUGUGAGGAAGGUGGGGAUGACGUCAAAUCAGCACGGCCCUUACGUCCGGGGCUACACACGUGUUACAAUGGGGCAUACAGAGAGUUGGCCAUGCGCAAGUAUGGCCGGAUCAAGAAAGUGCCCCUCAGUUCGGACUGGGGUCUGCAACCCGACCCCACGAAGCUGGAUUCGCUAGUAAUCGCGCAUCAGCCAUGGCGCGGUGAAUACGUUCCCGGGCCUUGUACACACCGCCCGUCAAGCCAUGAAAGCCGGGGGCGCCUGAAGUCCAUGACCGCGAGGGUCGGCCUAGGGUGAAACCGGUGAUUGGGGCUAAGUCGUAACAAGGUAAC